GUGCUAACUUCAGCAGCACAUAUGCUAAAAUUGGAAUGAUACAGAAGCGAUUAGCAUGGCCCAUACACAAAGAUGACACAAAGUCAUGAAGUGUUCCAUAUUUUA